GUGAUUUUCCAGCUUCACCUUCAAAGUUGAUACCCAAAAUUGUCUGAUCAAACACCACCAUCGACUGCUCACCGACGAUGUUUAUUGAGGCCAACGGUCAUCUUCUUAGGAAUUAGGUUGGAUUUGGACAAAUUGACGGAGACCUCGUUUUUGCCAUUGAGAAGCUUCAAGAGAUCCAAGACGAGCUUGAGAAGAAGAACUCAUCGCUGGAAUUGAAGAGCGAGGAAUCCGAAGUUGAACUACCGAGAUCCAAAUAAUGGAUCUGAACCUGAAUCUACAAGAAUCGGGUUGGGAGGAAUUGAGGAAAGAAGCUCGAAAGAUCGAAGAUGCUAGGUUCAACCCAGGAGGGUUGCUCAUUUUCCUCCUUUUUAUUGUUAUUUUUUGGAAUAUGUGUUGCUUUUUUUCCCGGUAGAUUAUUGAAAUUAGGAACAAAUCUGUUGAAGAACUGAACAUAUUCUAAAAGCUGAAUAAAUAAGAUUUGUUUAAUGAGAUUUUUUUCUGUUUUAGGAAUCCAAAGCCUUAGGAGUCUGGUGCUCUUUUGUUUUUUCUUCUUCUUUGUGAUAAUAUUUACUUACCUUUAGAUUAUGUAGAUACUGGGUCGCCACCAGCCGGGUCAAGCAGUUCAUGGAAGUCUAUGGAAAUUGAAAUUCAAUCAUUGCUUGAGAAACUGCUAGACUGAUGGUAUGGGUAGAUGUGAUGCAUAUUUUACAUCGACUACUUCGGUAACCCAGAAACUUGCAAGACAUAGAGACAUACUACAUGAGUUUACUCAGAUUUAAUACGCUGACUCGGUUUACUACACUUGUUUUCUUAAGUAAGAUUUUCAUGUUUAGUUAUAAGGUAUUAAGACCUCUAAGGGAAUAUGUGCAUUUCAUGACAUCUUGUCCUACAUUGCAUCUAAUAAGUAAAUUGUGAGUGUAUUAUAAUAGUCAUGUUUCUUUGAGAACUUAUCUGCAUUU